AUAAUAUACACGAUGGCGCAGUAUCCUAGUCAGCCUUUCACUGACGAAAGCGUGCCUAAAAAUACGCAUAAGGGCAUAUCGAUGAAGCUCCCUUCGUUCCUUUACGCUGCCGACGCCCAGUCGGGGGCGGACGCGGGGAGAAACGGGUUUGCGGGCGGCCCGUAACGGCAUACGGAACCGACCCGCUCACUCUUUGAGGCGGACCGCGCAUUUGCUCGGGCCGAAAACCUGCCGUACCGGCAAAAUGAUACGGUUGGCAGACGUAGCCUGCCUUGCGUGAAUACGGCGGAUACGGGUCCAUAAGGCUGCGCUUGCGACCAGCUAUCGCAGGCGUACCGAAUUCCCGUUGAAAUCGUGUUUGCAAAAGAGGAUUAGACAGCGCGAAACGGCUGCCGGGGAAAUCCCCUAGGCUGACGCUUUUACAGCGGGCGUAUAAUGGAUUGCAGUGCGGACUUAAAGGCAAUCAAGUCGCGGAAGCAGCGAUGCUCCGCCACGGUCUUUAAUGGGGAACCGCUUCACCGGCGACGGGAAGCAGACCGCGGUGAAACACUACUUGACCGUAUGCCGCAAAGUUUACGUUAUACGCCGCCAUCAUUUUUGA
rnacentral:sRNA from 1 species